rnacentral:sRNA from 1 species
GAUGAGAACCUUCGAUCAAGGUUCGAGUCGAGCAUCGCGAGACAACGCGCGCAAGCGCGGCCCGCAGGGUGAGGCGCGACGCGCCGAAUAAUCCUGACAUCAAGCCCC